AAAAAUCUAAGCAAAGGCGAUGCACUAGAGAUUGAAUAUGUGUAAUUUAUAUUCUUGAAAUGUUGAUAGGAAGUCUAGUAAAUCCACUAGAGAGAAGGAAGGCAAUUAUGUUGAAAGACUUGUAUUCAUAUUCAAGCAGGUGGAAUUAAUAUCCCUUAACAAUUUUAAUGUUUUUUUAUAAAAGACUUAUGCCCAUUUAAUUUCAACAAAAUCUAGCUAUUUAUAAUAUUUAUAAUGUAAUAUUUUGUUUAAUGAAAUUCGUGAAAGUUUGUUUUAUC
rnacentral:lncRNA from 1 species